rnacentral:Y_RNA from 1 species
GGUUGGUCCCAGUGCAGUGGUGUUUACAACUGAUUGAUCACAACCAGUUACAGAUUCCUUUGUUCCUUCUCCACUCCCACUGCUCCACUUGACCAGCCUUUA